GAUGAACGCUGGCGGCGUGCCUAAUACAUGCAAGUCGAGCGAACGGACGAGAAGCUUGCUUUUCUGAUGUUAGCGGCGGACGGGUGAGUAACACGUGGAUAACCUACCUAUAAGACUGGGAUAACUUCGGGAAACCGGAGCUAAUAUCGGAUAAUAUUUUGAACCGCAUGGUUCAAAAGUGAAAGACGGUCUUGCUGUCACUUAUAGAUGGAUCCGCGCUGCAUUAGCUAGUUGGUAAGGUAACGGCUUACCAAGGCAACGAUGCAUAGCCGACCUGAGAGGGUGAUCGGCCACACUGGAACUGAGACACGGUCCAGACUCCUACGGGAGGCAGCAGUAGGGAAUCUUCCGCAAUGGGCGAAAGCCUGACGGAGCAACGCCGCGUGAGUGAUGAAGGUCUUCGGAUCGUAAAACUCUGUUAUUAGGGAAGAACAUAUGUGUAAGUAACUGUGCACAUCUUGACGGUACCUAAUCAGAAAGCCACGGCGAACUACGUG
rnacentral:rRNA from 1 species